rnacentral:rRNA from 1 species
AUUGAACGCUGGCGGCAUGCCUUACACAUGCAAGUCGAACGGCAGCACGGACUUCGGUCUGGUGGCGAGUGGCGAACGGGUGAGUAAUGUAUCGGAACGUACCUUUCAGUGGGGGAUAACGUAGCGAAAGUUACGCUAAUACCGCAUAUUCUGUGAGCAGGAAAGCAGGGGAUCGCAAGACCUUGCGCUGAUUGAGCGGCCGAUAUCAGAUUAGCUAGUUGGUGGGGUAAAGGCCUACCAAGGCUACGAUCUGUAGCGGGUCUGAGAGGAUGAUCCGCCACACUGGAACUGAGACACGGUCCAGACUCCUACGGGAGGCAGCAGUGGGGAAUUUUGGACAAUGGGGGCAACCCUGAUCCAGCCAUGCCGCGUGAGUGAAGAAGGCCUUCGGGUUGUAAGUACGUCUUUCGGUCCGGGAAGGAAAGUACGACGUAUAGGACUAAGUAACCCUACGUGUGGUAGUCGUACGGUAACCGGAACGUAAGAAAGCGACCGGACGUAACUACGUGUCCAGCACGG